CCUGGAGUGAACUUGAGAAAACAAAGCACACUCAGUCCUGUUAUUUAAAGUGCCACUCAGAGGUGGUCAAAUACUCUGCUGAUGUGUGCUGCAAAGUCCUUGACAGAGCAGCUUGACUGCAGAAAGGAAUUAAAAUAUUGUGCACAUGAGCCAGGAGAGCAGUCCCUCCUUGCAUCUCCCUGAGAGGAGGAAGUACAUAAUGGGAAGGGAGGUGUAGUUACAAAAUGAGAUUCUCUGUUCCUUGGGGGACUGUUAAAACCAGUCAAUAUUUAUGAAGCUUUUAGUCUGACUCAUGCAAUUUGCUCCCCCUUCUACGUGCUUGUCUUUGGGACUCAGCUGUUGCUUGGCAUGUUACUGCCAUAAAAUCAGAUGCUGUAGUUUAACUGUAUCCUUAUUUAGAGAAAAGUGGAAGGUCCAACGCAGACUGUAAAGCAAGUCGCCACCUUACUGCAAGCAACCAAGGGAGCACACAGAGGGAAGCAUCACCAGCUCCCGUCAGAUGAACACUGUACUGAAGAGAAACAGCUCAUAGUUAAGGCAGCAGAGGGUAAGAAGUGCAAAUGGCCUGGCUUUUACAUUCACUGUGGGGGUUGUCAGGAAGCCACUCAACAAGCCAGGUCCAAAGUAUCCUCCUCGAGUGAAGGACUGAAAAAGUAAUGCAGGAAUGUGAAAGCAUUGGAUGUGGAAGGAGGCAGCCCAUGGAGAGAAAGCAGUGAGCAGUCAGUUGUGGUGCCAUUCUCACCUCUGCCUCAUAAUCCUGGAGGGGCUGAAGCACCUCCUCUAGACUUAGUCUCUGACCCCUACUGACUGGGGUUACUUGGCUGAGCUUCCUGGUGAGGAGAUUAAAGCAAUACAGAAACAUUUUCUGUUUUGAAAUGUGCUGUGACCUGCUGGUCUCAAAGUAAUUUCCAGCAGUGUUCCUGAGUGGUAAAUACUGGUGUGGCUGGGUAGGGAUUAACAUGAUCCCUGUGCCAGGAGAGUGUCCUGAAGAGGCAUUAUCUGGAAUGACCUAUUUAUACCACCAGAUUUACCCUCAGCUUGAUCCCUCUCUGUUCUGACUCACCUUCUGCAAGCCCUGAGUCCAUCCUGGAUAAUGAGUGUGAGCAGUGUCCUUGGACUUGUCAGGGACAUCAAGUGUUUAGUGAUGCUGUGAGGUGUCUUUGCAAGAGUAGUAUCACCUACCCAAGCUAGUACUCCAGUAAAGCAAUGGAAGUAGGAAAGAUGAGAGUGAUGUGGAGCAGAAGCCUGCCUGGUUUUCUGGAGAACCUCUUCCCUCUCCAUCAUUUAUAGGAAAUUAAAGAGCAGACACUUGUGAAAAUGGAAACUGAGGUGUUAGGCUGAUGAUGCUCAAUACUACCUGCAUCAAGAACCCCUGUGAGGAUCCUUUGGCAUGGUCAGCAGCCAUUGUACGAGAAUGAGUGGCUUCUGACACUGUGACACUUCUGCACGCGCAAAAUAGUGCUUUGAGUGAGCACCAGUACUUUGUGGAUGUAAACUUGCAUGUACAAAAUCAUGACUUGAAAUGAGGGAUCCAACUGAGACUUCAGGACAUAUCCAUUCCUCACCUUCUGGCCUGCUUGCCACUCUGC